UGGUAAUGGUAACAGUCCGUGGCACGGUAAACUCCACCCGGAGCAAGGCCAAAUAGGGGUUCAUAAGGUACGGCCCGUACUGAACCCGGGUAGGCUGCUUGAGCCAGUGAGCGAUUGCUGGCCUAGAUGAAUGACUGUCCACGACAGAACCCGGCUUAUCGGUCAGUUUCACUU
rnacentral:RNase_P_RNA from 1 species